rnacentral:rRNA from 1 species
CCCGCCGGCGACCGGCGCACGGGUGAGUAACACGUAUGAAACCUGCCCGUAGCAGGGGGAUAAGCGGAAGAAAUUCCGUCUAAUACCGCGUAACAACCCAUGGAGGCAUCUCUGUGGGUUUAAAGGAAGCGAUUCCGGCUACGGAUGGUCAUGCGUCGCAUUAGCUUGUUGGCGGGGUAACGGCCCACCAAGGCGACGAUGCGUAGGGGUUCUGAGAGGAAGGUCCCCCACACUGGUACUGAGACACGGACCAAACUCCUACGGAAGGCAGCAG